rnacentral:rRNA from 1 species
GAUCAGGAUUCGUCUGAGUGAAGGUGAGGAAAGUGGCGGACGGGUGAGUAACGCGUGAGCAAUCUGCCUUGGAGUGGGGAAUAACGGCUGGAAACAGCCGCUAAUACCGCAUGAUGUGUCUGUCUCGCAUGGGGUGGACACCAAAGAUUUAUCGCUCUGAGAUGAGCUCGCGUCUGAUUAGCUAGUUGGCGGGGUAACGGCCCACCAAGGCGACGAUCAGUAGCCGGACUGAGAGGUUGGCCGGCCACAUUGGGACUGAGACACGGCCCAGACUCCUACGGGAGGCAGCAGUGGGGAAUAUUGGGCAAUGGGCGCAAGCCUGACCAAGCAACGCCGCGUGAAGGAAGAAGGCUUUCGGGUUGUAAACUUCUUUUCUGAGGGACGAAGAAAGUGACGGUACCUCAGGAAUAAGCCACGGCUAACUACGUGCCAGCAGCCGCGGUAAUACGUAGGUGGCAAGCGUUAUCCGGAUUUAUUGGGUGUAAAGGGCGUGUAGGCGGGAAUGCAAGUCAGAUGUGAAAACUAUGGGCUCAACCCAUAGCCUGCAUUUGAAACUGUAUUUCUUGAGUGCUGGAGAGGCAAUCGGAAUUCCGUGUGUAGC